UACGAAGGGGGCUAGCGUUGUUCGGAAUCACUGGGCGUAAAGCGCACGUAGGCGGAUUGUUAAGUCGGAGGUGAAAUCCCAGGGCUCAACCCUGGAACUGCCUUCGAUACUGGCUAUCUCGAGUCCGGGAGAGGUGAGUGGAACUGCGAGUGUAGAGGUGAAAUUCGUAGAUAUUCGGCGGAACACCAGUGGCGAAGGCGACUCACUGGCCCGAUACUGACGCUGAGGCGCGAAAGCGUGGGGAGCAAACAGG
rnacentral:rRNA from 1 species